AGAAUCAACGCUGGCGGCGUGCCUCAGACAUGCAAGUCGAACGCGAAAGUCUCCUUCGGGGGACAAGUAGAGUGGCGCACGAGUGAGUAACACGUAGGUAAUCUACCUUCGGAUGGGGAAUAACAACCGGAAACGGUUGCUAAUACCGCAUAAUGCAGCGGCACCUAAUGGUGACAGUUGUUAAAGCGGGGGAUCGAAAGCCUCGCGUCUGAAGAGGAGCCUGCGGCGGAUUAGCUAGUUGGUAGGUAACGGCCUACCAAGGCGACGAUCCGUAGCC
rnacentral:rRNA from 1 species